UUACUAGAACUUAUGACAACCUGUACAUUGUUUUUAUUCAAUCACUUUACCUUCGUUCUUAUCAUCUUUGUAAUCAUUACUGUACUGUAUUGUGACCAUUAGGCUGCCUCCAGUACAUAUCAACUGGGAUCGACUCAUGAUAGGCUUAUGCCCCUGGGAUACCACCCAUAAACACAUAAAUAGGGAUCGACCCAUGAUAGGCUUAUGCCCCUGGGAUACCACCCGAUAAGAGAGAACUUCCAUCACUUAGUUCAAUUAAUCUUUGAGAUUGUUAUUUCGAUCGCCACCACAUUUUUGAUACUUUGAAACAAUGAUACAUCAAUAA
rnacentral:lncRNA from 1 species